UAGACACACAGAGAUCGAGUGAGAAAAAUAGAGAGAUGAAGCCGGAAAAAAGGUUUCAAUUUCUGUGAAUAGACCAAAUUAUUCUGAUUGAAUUGAUUCUGCACAAGAAGAAAGCUCAUACGGUCAUACCCAUUUGCUCUAUAAUGUGAUUGAUUCGCAAGCUCCCGCCUUUCAGGGUUUAUUGUGGAGGUAAGAAGGCAAGGAGAUGGAUUUUCAAAUGAAUAUCAAUCAACACUGCUAGCUAGAAUGUGUUAUUUUGAGGGUUUUAGAUCAAGCAUCUUUUUGUAAUUAUUUUUUGCUGCAAACUUUAUGUUUGUAUUGAAUAUUUAGCCUCUUUUGUAGGCUCAUCUAAUGAUAUUGAUGAUACAUGGUGGGUUA